GCCGGGCUUCCUCCAAUCUACACCUCCACUCUAUCUCUCUCAAUCUAGUAGAAACUAGAAGAUCUAUAUCUACCUUACAUUGGUUGCUAAGCCUAAAAAGAAAUAUUAAUUAGAGAAGAGGUUUUCCUUCGAGGGCACCUCAGUCUCUAUGAUAAUUUCUUCAUGUCUUUUCCAGGGGCCAGGGGGGCCUUGCUUAUAUAGUCCUCCCCUUCUAUGUGUUUUUGGGUCGAUAGGCGAGGUGGUACUAUGUUUUUCUUGAUCCAAUAGGUCGGUGGAAUAUCCCGAGCGAAAAGAGCCCUGAUCUGGCUCCAGAGGGGGGGCGGGCGCCCAGGCUACCAGGGCGGGCGCCCUGGGCCUGGCCCAGUUUCGCCUCCGCUUCGGUCUCGUGGCUUCUGGAGUCUUCUAGAUGAUGUAAAAUCGUGCGGUGCGUUGAUAUCUCUAUGUAAUCCCGACAUGUGGGCCUUUCUUCCUUAUUUCCUGAUAACCCCCUCCAGAAACAGAUAAACAACAAAACUCGUGGAAUUCUGUCAGAUCAAACCCUAAUUCUAGGAGUUGGUUGCAUAUUGGUCCUUUCUCUUGUUUAUUUGAUAAUUAAAAUUGAUACUUAAGAACCGUCAACAAAUACCCCCAUACUUAGGCUUUUACUCGUCCUCGAGAAAAGGAUGGUUAAGAAAAAUAUCUAGGGUAAACAUUUUAAAACAUUCUCUAUAUAAUUGCAGGGUGUUAAAAAUCCACUGUGUACCAUAGUCGGGGAUGUAUAUGGUUAAGAGUAAAGAUCCUUUCUUCUCAAUCCUGCCACUUGGAGUUUUUGUAUAUUUUUGAAAGAAAGUUAGCAUACCUUUUUAUCCUCAUAGGUUCUCUCAGAUCACUCAUUAUUUUUUAUAUAUCUUACUGAGGUUGUUUUAUUUUGCAAAAAUUCUCAAGCAUUCUUACUUUGCAUUUAUUGCUUGAUCAAAACGGGAUCCGAGGAGGGGAAUGUCAUACUCUUAGAUCAAAGACUUUGAAAAUUAAAAACUUUGUCAACUCUUGCUGGCAUAUUGCUUAUUAGAGGGACCAUGGGCUAUCAUUUUUUUCUCUUUUCUUUUCUCUUUUUUUAAGUGGAUACCGAAGUAUCCCUAAUUCUACUGCUGGACACUUGUCCAUUUUUUCUGCGAGGUUGUCGAGCACUUGCUCCUUUUUAUUUUCCUCGAAAUAUAUAUAUAUAUAUAUAUAUAUAUAUAUAUUAUUUUUGCAUAGCCCAUGCCUCUAAUGCAAUAAUACUUCGGAAGAGUGAAUCUUUCUGAAAUAAUGUCUUGAUCUUAGGAGCAUGAUAAAUCUCUCAACAAGGGUCUAACUCAUUCUGAACAAACUCAAUACAGAGAAGAUAGCUUUUAUAAUCAUAAUUAAUAUUUUCAGUUUUAUCAGGCAUAUAAAACACUGAGGAUGGUAGCUAUAAUUUUGAAUAUUUUGAAAUAAAUUCUCCAAGCAACAAAGAUAUCAAGAAUAAGAAACUCAUACUCUACCAUCACAUAUUCCAUAUUGACUUAAGUGACACAGGGUUUUAAAAUGAUUUUCAAUAAUUGCAAGUUUUCAGG
rnacentral:lncRNA from 1 species